rnacentral:rRNA from 1 species
GACGAAGGUGGCAAGCGUUGUUCGAAAUCACUGGGCUUAAAGGGUGCGUAGGCGGACCUGCAAGUGUCUUGUGAAAUCCCCCGGCUUAACCGGGGAAUGGCUCGGCAAACUGCGGGUCUUGAGGCAAGUAGGGGUGCGUGGAACUCUUGGUGGAGCGGUGGAAUGCGUAGAUAUCAAGAGGAACGCCGAAGGUGAAAACAGCGCACUGGGCUUGCCCUGACGCUGAGGCACGAAAGCGUGGGGAGCAAACAGGAUUAGAUACCCUGGUAGUCCACGCCCUAAACGAUGCCUACUAGGUUGUAGGGGUUCUGACGCCCUUACAGUCGGAGCAAAAGUGUUAAGUAGGCCGCCUGGGGAGUACGGUCGCAAGGCUAAA